rnacentral:sRNA from 1 species
UACCAUGCUGAUCGGGCGAUGUCCUUGG